rnacentral:rRNA from 1 species
CUUGGUCAUUUAGAGGAAGUAAAAGUCGUAACAAGGUUUCCGUAGGUGAACCUGCGGAAGGAUCAUUAUUGAAUACGUUUGGUUCUGAUGCUGGCUCUUCACUGAGCAUGUGCUCGAUCCAUAACUAUUUAUCUUCUCUUGUGCACCUUUUGUAGUCUUUCAAAGAAGUGAUAACUCUCGCAGCAAUGCGGUUUGGGGGACUUUGGGCGUGAGCCCUUCCCCUGCUUUUGCUUUUUCUGAAGGGCUAUGUUUUCAUAUACACUAUAAAGUUACAGAAUGUCUUUUAAAGAUUGUGCUAGUCGCAGUCAUUAAACCUAUACAACUUUCAGCAACGGAUCUCUUGGCUCUCCCAUCGAUGAAGAACGCAGCGAAAUGCGAUAAGUAAUGUGAAUUGCAGAAUUCAGUGAAUCAUCGAAUCUUUGAACGCACCUUGCGCCCUUUGGUAUUCCGAGGGGCAUGCCUGUUUGAGUGUCAUUAAAUUCUCAACCCAAAAAGCUUUUACUAGCUCUUUUGUGGCUUGGAUGUGGGGGUUAUUGCUGGCUUCCUUCAGUGGAUGGUCUGCUCCCCUUAAAUACAUUAGUGGGAUCUCUUGUGGACCGUCACUUGGUGUGAUAAUUAUCUAUGCCAGUUGACUUUGAAGCAAAACUUAUGGGAACCCGCUCAUAACCGUCUUCGGACAACUUUUGACAUUUUGACCUCAAAUCAGGUAGGACUACCCGCUGAACUUAAGCAUAUCAAUAAGCGGAGGA